CCUACGGGUGGCUGUAGUGGGGGAUAUUGCACAAUGGGGGGAACCCUGAUGCAGCGACGCCGCGUGGGUGAAGGAGUGCUUCGGCAUGUAAAGCCCUAUCGGCAGGGAAGAAGCAAGACGGUACCUGACUAAGAAGCCCUGGCUAACUACGUGCCAGCAGCCGCGGUAAAAAGUAGGGGGCGAGCGUGAUCCGGAUUAACUGGGUGGAAUGGAAGCGUAGACGGUCAUGCAAGCCAGGGGUGAAAGCCCGGGGCCAAACCCCGGGAAUGCCUUUGGGACGGGAUGGCUGGAGUGCGGGAGGGGCAGGCGGAAGUCCUGGUGUAGCGGUGAAAUGCGUAGAUAUCAGGAGGAACACCGGCGGCGAAGGCGGCCUGCUGGACCGCGACUGACGUUGAGGCGCGAAAGCGUGGGGAGCGAACAGGAUUAGAUACCCUUGUAGUG
rnacentral:rRNA from 1 species